UACAGAGGGUGCAAGCGUUGUUCGGAAUUAUUGGGCGUAAAGGGCGCGUAGGCGGCCUAGUAAGUUGGGGGUGAAAGCCCGUGGCUCGACCACGGAAUUGCCUUCGAUACUGCUAGGCUUGAGUAUGGUAGAGGUUGGUGGAACUGCGAGUGUAGAGGUGAAAUUCGUAGAUAUUCGCAAGAACACCGGUGGCGAAGGCGGCCAACUGGACCAUUACUGACGCUGAGGCGCGAAAGCGUGGGGAGCAAACAGG
rnacentral:rRNA from 1 species